rnacentral:rRNA from 1 species
GUGUAACAACUCACCUGCCGAAUGAACUAGCCCUGAAAAUGGAUGGCGCUGAAGCGGGCCACUUAUACUCCACCACCAGCGCAAGUGUUUAGUGUUGGUGAGUAGGAGGGCGUGAAGGUCGUUGUGCAGCUCGUGUCGUGAGGCAGAGUGAAACGUCCUUUAGUGCAGAUCUUGGUGGUAGUAGC